CCUCUGCUCUUCUGCAUCUUAGGUUGUGAUCUGCUUCCUGGGUUCACAUGGUUCAUCUGUGCUUAAGCAAGAACAUGGAGCUUUUGAAGUGGCAUCUGAAAGACCUUUGGAUGGACGCUGCACAUUCCUGAUCCCUGUGGUGUCACUGGAAAUGACGAGCGUCUUUUUAAGACUGAAUAGACCUAGACAGGCAUAGGACACUAGGGAUUAACUUAAAAGUGCACAGGUUUGUGGAGCAAGCAGCUGUUCAUUUGUUUUGUCAGUAAUGGAGAGA
rnacentral:lncRNA from 1 species